CGCCAGACUCCUACGGGAGGCAGCAGUGAGGAAUAUUGGUCAAUGGGCGGAAGCCUGAACCAGCCAAGUCGCGUGAGGGAAGAAGGCCCUGCGGGUCGCAGACCUCUUUGGACGGGGAGCAAGGCCGCCGACGUGUCGGCGGAAGGAGAGUACCCGUAGAACAAGCAUCGGCUAACUCCGUGCCAGCAGCCGCGGUAAUACGGAGGAUGCGAGCGUUAUCCGGAUUUAUUGGGUUUAAAGGGUGCGCAGGGGGAGCGGAAAGCCGGGGGUAAAAUCGCGGGGCCCAACCCCGCCCAGCCGUCGGAACUGCCGGGCUAGAGUGGGCGAGAAGUGCGCGGAAUGCGUGGUGUAGCGGUGAAAUGCAUAGAUAUCGCGCAGAACUCCGAUUGCGAAGGCAGCAUACCGGCGCUCAACUGACGCUCAUGCACGAAAGUGUGGGUAUCGAACAGGAUUAGAUACCCUAGUAC
rnacentral:rRNA from 1 species